CAGAUACUUCUUUCUUUCUCAAGUGCGUCCAGACCUUCGCCUCCGCCUCCGCCUCCCACCCCAAAAGCCUCUCCGGUCACAGCCGCUAUUCAGAUAUGCCUCUAGCAUGUCGCCUCUCUCAAAAGUCUUGCUGGUUGCAGCUGGGUCCUAUGCCACCUAGGCCUUCAAUGUUGCCUCUUGGAGCCCCAUCGGUGGCUCCAAUGAGCUUGAGUUGAACUUUGCGCGCGCUUCGCUCCUCUCUCUCACCGGAUUUUGGGAAAUCAAGCCUGUUUCGACAUCGCCAUGUGAAAAGCUCCUCUGCCGUUGAUUGCCUGUGUUUGGUGGGAUUUCACAAGCUAUUUUGCCAAAGAAACAGUCAGGCAAAAAUUCACAGAAUUGUUGUCCUAGCGUGGCUAAUGCACUGGAGGUCCCAAGUCAUCCCUUCCAAGAAGCUAAGAUGGUUGUUUUUGCAUUUACUUCACGAUGUUGAAUUUGCGCUUGGACAUUUGGCUGGUAAGCCGAGACUUGGAGCUAUGUCUGUCCCACAUCCAUGCAUUUUUUUUUUUUAUUGUGAUUGAUAUGGUUAAUGGGGUUGCAAUACUUGCUUAGUCACUCAAUUUGAAAUAGAGAAAAGGUCAUUCGAGAGAUCCCUUUCUGAAUACUUUGUGGCUAGCUUAGAAUAUGCUUGAGUUCCAUAUGCCUUAGAUAUCGCAAAUGCAAAUGAAUCAACUGCUCAUAAGUUCUAUCCAAUAACAUGAAGGAAGAUAACAUGGAGAUGGAUGAGAGGAAUACUGUUAAUUUUGACGAGAUAUGUAUUCUAUCAUCAGUUCCUUUUCAUUUGCUGUAGCACAAUUUCAUCAGAGAAUUGAGCCUAAACAAGGAUAAAAUUCCAGCUCAGUUUAUCAAGCCAGUUCAAAGGAAAUUGAUGUGACCCGGAAAUAUGUGGAUUGUUUGACUGCACCUGCCAUGGGGAAAGUCCUAGUCUGUGAGUUCGUCUAUGAUUUCAACUUUUAAGAUAGAUUGGAAAUGAUUUUUGAUAAUUUUCUUUUUUUAUUUGACUGUAGAUUCUGGUGAACCCAUUGUUUGUGACCUAUAAUCUGCAAAGGCAUGAAUUGUUGCUUUGAUUGGGGUAUGUUGAAGUUAAAUGCUAUGUGCAGAUUAAAAUGUGUGAUGUUACAUCCCAACGAACGGUGAAAAAGAAAGUUACAUUUCAAAUUCCUUUUCUCUAGCUAGACAAUAGACAGUAAUUAGUUUCAUGGUUGUCUGGAUGAAGUAUAGGUUCCUUUUGACAUUAAGUUUUUCUUGGGGUCAAAAGACUUUGCUUUAGCAAGAUGGUAUAUAAUCAAUCUCUAACCGAUCUCAUAGGCAUGGUGACCAAUAAAGUCAAUUAGAAUCGGCAAUCUUUUGGCAUGUGUUUCAUUUUGUUCUAUAUCGGGUUUUUAUUGCAUUCUCUAGCUCUUUGGGAACUUUGUUACAGAGUGCGUUUAGUUUCUAGUCAGUGUUUAAGUUGUCCUUGCUGUGACACAUAUGACAAUACGUUUUUUAAUCAUCUUUCUGGUUUCCAAUUAAUAUUCUCUUUUCCUGAUUGAGUUCUCUAGGUAAUCUCUUUUAUCCUUACUUUUCUUAAUUAGUUCAUCUAUAAUUAUAGGCACCAAGACUACCAGGUGCUUGAAUGUGAGUAUGCAAAAGAGGCUUGAACUUUUUUGGCUCCUCUGCUGAUGCAGACAAAGCGUGAGGAUAAACAAAUUGCUUUUGCCGGGAAGAGCUUUCCCAAAUUUAAGAAUCACAAUAACCUUGGCAAUGAAGGUUUGAGAUGAGUAGCUCAGGUCAUUUUAAAAGUAUGCAAAUCUCUACUAAGUUUCAUUCUAUUUGCUCGGAAUAUCUGAACUAUGUCGUCCUUCUGGCUUAUCAGGUUAAAAAAAAAAAAAAAACAAUAGACUAUAUAAUAGCUUGGAGGAGUGACACUGAUGAAUUUGAUGAACUUGCAUUCAAUUUGGGAGGAGGCCUUGAUAUGCAUCUGGUCGCACGACUAUCGUCAAACAUUCAAUCUGGCCUUCCUCGAAGAUCAAAGGAUUACUCCUAUCUGGUCUUCCUUGAAGAUCAAAGGAUUAGUCCAUCAUGUUACUUAGAACAAUGUUUAGAAAGACUUCUUGGCAGUUGUGUAUAAGAUAUUGUGACAAAUAUUAUUGUGCUUUAACUAAUUAUUCUUAAGCUCGUUUA